rnacentral:rRNA from 1 species
AGCUCCAAUAGCGUAUAUUAAAGUUGUUGCAGUUAAAAAGCUCGUAGUUGGAUUUCUGUUGGGAGCCGCCAGUCCGCUCUUAGGAGUGUGCACUUGGUAAAUCUCAGCAUCCUCCUGGUAUUGCAUUCUUCACUUCAUUGUGAAGGGUGUAUUUCCAGGACUUUUACUUUGAGAAAAUUAGAGUGUUUCAAGCAGGCUUGUUGCCUUGAAUACUGCAGCAUGGAAUAAUAAGAUAGGAUUUCGGUUCUAUUUUGUUGGUUUCUAGGACUGAAGUAAUGAUUAAUAGGGACAGUUGGGGGCAUUCGUAUUUAACUGUCAGAGGUGAAAUUCUUAGAUUUGUUAAAGACGAACUACUGCGAAAGCAUUUGCCAAGGAUGUUUUCAUUAAUCAAGAACGAAAG